rnacentral:rRNA from 1 species
UCCUUAGAUGUCCUGGGCCGCACGCGCGCUACACUGACAUGUUCAACAAGUUUCUCCUAGUUCGACAGGACUGGGAAAUCUUUGAACGCAUGUCGUGAUAGGGAUAGAUCAUUGCAAUUAUUGAUCUUGAACGAGGAAUUCCUAGUAAACGCGAGUCAUCAGCUCGCAUUGAUUACGUCCCUGCCCUUUGUACACACCGCCCGUCGCACCUACCGAUUGAAUGUUUCGGUGAAGAUUCCGGAUAGGACUGAUUUGAUUUAUUUCAUUUCUGACCUAAAAGCUAUCUAAACCUCAACAUUUAGAGGAAGGUGAAGUCGUAACA